GCCUGCUUGGCGCAGUGGUAACGCGUCGCACUUGUAAUGCGAAGAUCAGAAGUUCAAUUCUUCUAGUAGGCA
rnacentral:tRNA from 1 species